ACAGCUUCACACGUGGACCUGCUCAUUGGCUAAGCUUCGUUGAUUCGAGGGAGACGAUGAUACCUCCACUUCUCUGUCUUCGCCAUGACUUGGCGCAUUCGCAAUUCGCAUCGGGUCGUCUCUGCAACUCCAUGGUUCAUCUUCCCUUGUUAGAUUGUUGGAAGAUAGAAUUUGAGGUCGUUGAGGGCUUCUACUCAUCUUGAUCCUGGGUUGAGAUGGAUUCACCGGUGGGUGGUCCACAAAAGACGUCUAUAGUUGUUGUUAACUUGGACACUGGUGAGGUCUGUGUCGUUUCUAGUUUGUUUUCUAGGCCUGAGACUCAGGUUAUCUAUGUUGAUCCUACUACUGGGGCCCUGUGGUAUAAUGGAAAGCCUGGUCGUGAACGUGACAAUUUUAAGUCUGAGCGUGAAGCCCUAAAUUAUAUCACAGACGGCUCAAAAUGGAGCUGCAGAAGUACAAUUUAUGCCAGGGCCGUAGUUGGGUAUGCUGCCUUGGGAAGCUUUGGCUUGCUUCUUGUUGCUACAAAGCAAAAUCCAAGUAUUCCAGAUUUUCCUGGGGGAGGCUGUGUAUACACAGUGACUGAGAGUCAAUGGAUCAAAAUACCACUUCAUGUACAACUGCACUAAACUGAUAACAAUUUUUUUUGCGUAUCGGACAGUUGCUCUCUAUUUGCUGUUUUUGUUGUAGAUAUCUUAAUUCUUCUAUAAAAAUGGCUUCUACUUUGAUUUUAUUUUUUUUAUUUGCUAAAAUCUCAGAUUAUUUCUGAUUGCCAUGGUGAUCAUGGCAGGUACUUUCUCGACCAAGUGGUUUCAUUCUGAAACCUGUGCCUAGCGUAUCUGCAAAUUCCAGUGAUGGGUUCAGUCUGCUAAGUUUCAAGAGGAAGGACAUCACUUGGGUACCUCUAUUUGGAUAUAAUUACUUCCUGGUUAAUUGUUGCUGGGCAAGCUGAGCAAACAUUUUAACUUUUUUACAUGUAUUUUACAUAUGAUUUAACAUAUCCAUACACUGUGGACGUGAGGACUGGACGCCACAUAGAUGGCCUUAAAUUAGUUGUCGAGGGUGCCUCAAUCUCUCGGUGCGCAAAUGGUACGAAUGUUCUGGUACCUUUACCAGGGCCAAGUAGUGCUGAGGAUAUUGCUGUUACUAGAGCUGGUGCACGUCUUCAUGAAAAAGACACAUCAAGUGCUUCUCUGUUGUAUAAUUUUGAAGAACUAGAAGAUAGAAGUCCUGGGAGUUUCUCUCACAUGGAAAGAAGUAUUUACUAACGAAGGGACCGAAGGGAUAUUAUUAGCUCAGCUUGCAAGGAAAAAAGAUGAAGAUAAAAAUCCAUUAUCAUCUUGUUCCGAUUCCAAUCCAUUUGCCGCAACACCUUUACAGAGUGAAGCAGUGUCCACAACAAGCAAACAGCAAAAUCCAUUUCCCGGUAACGUGGUUGACCUUUUGACUGGAGAGAGCAUUUCCGCUGAUCCCAUACCGCAGCCAAUGGUUGAACAUGUUGCAAGUGGGACCAGUGACUUGCUUGACUUCUUAUACCAAGCACUUGUUGAAUAUCUAGGCUCUGAAGCUGUUCCUAGUGGAUCUUCCUCUCAAGGACUAAGGCCGAAGGAAAGCAAAGCUCAGCUGUACUUAAAUUGUUUAGACUCCCUUGCAGGCCCAAACAUGGUAUGUUGGAUUUGGCCUAGGGAAGUCCGAUGAUAAUGUGAUGGAUUUGUGGAACGUUACCGGCAUUGGUGAGGGUUGUUCUGGUGGAACGUGUCAAGUGCGAGCUGAGGUCAAUAAAAAUUCAUUCCAAGAGUUCUGGAGGAGACUCAAAGUCAGUGUUCUUGUGCCGCCAAUGUAUGAAGAGAGCUUGCAAAUGGGAGCGGUAUUGGAGCCCCAACUUGAUGAUUCUGCUAAUUCAGUAGGUUUAGAUAAUUUCGUUUCUAAGAAAUGCUGCACCACGAUAGUCCUUGAAGCCCAGACUGUAGAUUUAUGUUAGGGUCUUGUCCAGCUUGCGGAGAAGGGUUUCAUGAGAUGAGUUCUGAAAUUUUAGAUACUGCUGUCCAUAAAAAUAUAUAUACAUAUAUAUAUAUAUAUUGUAUUCUUCACUUGUAUAAAUAACAGUUGCUUGAUCUCAUGCAUUCACAAAACUUUGUCCAAUGCAUUUGGUUGACAAAUUUUAGAUA